rnacentral:rRNA from 1 species
GACGAACGCUGGCGGCGUGCUUAACACAUGCAAGUCGAACGGAAAGGCCCUUCUUUUGUGGGGUGCUCGAGUGGCGAACGGGUGAGUAACCCGUGAGUAACCUGCCCUUGACUUUGGGAUAACUUCAGGCAACUGGGGCUAAUACCGGAUAGGAGCUCCUGCUGCAUGGUGGGGGUUGGUAAGUUUCGGUGGUUGGGGAUGGACUCGCGGCUUAUCAGCUUGUUGGUGGGGUAGUGGCUUACCAAGGCCUUGAAGGGUGGCCUGCCUGAGAGGGUGACCGGCCACAUUGGGACGGAAAUACGACCCAGACUCCUACGGGACGGAGCAGUGCAGAAUGUUGCACAAUGGACGGAAGCCUGACGCAACAACGCCGCGCGCGGGAUGACAGCCUUGCCUUUGUAUUGCAAUUCCCCCUGUGACGAAGCGAUAGUGACGGUAAUGGGUAAAGAAGCACCGGCUAACUACGUG